AACGAACGCUGGCGGCAUGCCUAACACAUGCGAGUCGAACGAUGCCUCCGGGCAUAGUGGCGCACGGGUGCGUAACGCGUGGGAAUCUGCCCUUGGGUUCGGAAUAACUCGCCGAAAGGCGAGCUAAUACCGGAUGAUGACGUAAGUCCAAAGAUUUAUCGCCCAAGGAUGAGCCCGCGUAGGAUUAGCUAGUUGGUGGGGUAAAGGCCCACCAAGGCGACGAUCCUUAGCUGGUCUGAGAGGAUGAUCAGCCACACUGGGACUGAGACACGGCCCAGACUCCUACGGGAGGCAGCAGUGGGGAAUAUUGGACAAUGGGCGAAAGCCUGAUCCAGCAAUGCCGCGUGAGUGAUGAAGGCCUUAGGGUUGUAAAGCUCUUUUACCCGGGAUGAUAAUGACAGUACCGGGAGAAUAAGCUCCGGCUAACUCCGUG
rnacentral:rRNA from 1 species